rnacentral:lncRNA from 1 species
UUAAUCUUAAACUUAGUUUUAGAGGAUGAGAUGGUUCGGAGGAUAAUAUACAUCAAAUGAUGGUUUAGAGAAUAUGAUCAUAAUUGCUUCUGGAUAUCAUCAAACUCUACUACUCUAAUCAGAUGUAACCACAAAUUAAGAUGCUUAGACAUUGGUGAAGUAUAAGAUUUUCUGUCAAUAUGAUAGAAGUAGAAUUAACACAGUGAAGUGUAAUUCUUCUUCCAUAAAUAAGAAUUACUUAAAAUAGUAGGACUAAAAACUGCUUCAUAAAAACAGAGACAUACCUUUCUUUGUGCAACUUCUGAUAAGUGUAUAGAGAUUGUUCUUAAGGAACAACAUUGUUCCAACAAUGAUCUUUAGAAAGACACCAUGAGUUAUUUUAGACUCCAGAGCAGCUGGAUGAUUUUCAGAGAUGUAUCAAGAGUAUGAAGCACCAUCAAUUUAGGACAACCUUAGUCUUCCUAGUAAUCUUUUCGUAUUGGUUUCUUCUAGAUUCCUCAUUUCCUUCCUUGUUAAGAGUUAGGAUUUGGAAUAUAGGCCUUCUUCUUAUUGUAGGUUAUAGUCAACCAUUAUCCUGAAACAAGAGUUGUUACUUGGUCUUUUUCCUUUAGCAUAUCUGCAUAAAACACAAUCUCAUCCUCUGGUAUCCAUAAUCUUAUGGGUGUUUUGAGAUUAGUUUUUUAGGUCUUCCUAUUGCUUUGAGCUUUAGCCUUAUAGUAAGGUUUAGGCUCAUUCCAGACUUUUUAUUUACACACAUUUUGUCUAAGAUAAGUCUUGAUCUUGACUUCUGAACCUCUUGGAACCUUUAAUUUAACAACCCUGAGUUCUGAACUCUUCAGAACCUCUAACUUGAUAGUCCGAGAUUUUUAAUUUUCAUAUCUUAUGAGUUAUUAAUGACAAGUUCUGAUUGAUUCAUAAUUUUACUAUUUUCAGCAGCAGACGCAAAGUAAGCUUUCAACCCC